AGGGGCGUGAUUCAAUUGGUAGAAUACCGGUCUCCAAAACCGGGAGUUGGGAGUUCGAGUCUCUCCGCCCCUGCCA
rnacentral:tRNA from 1 species